UAGGCUUCCUAAGACAUGGCCGACACGGGUCAAAGUCUAGUAUCUGUUCUCAUCAGCUUAAUAUCGGAUACGUGUUGUAUUUUGAGCCAAAAUAUGACUUAUUUGUGCACGUUGGCGGAGUGCUUGAAGCCUGCUUCACCUCCGCCGCAGGUAGACCCGGUAUUGCACUAUCUUCGGGAUGAGCCCACGCUUU